rnacentral:rRNA from 1 species
AUCGAACGCUGGCGGCAUGCUUUACACAUGCAAGUCGAACGGUAACAGGAUGCUUGCACCGCUGACGAGUGGCGAACGGGUGCGUAAUGCGUCGGAACGUGCCGAGUAGUGGGGGAUAACGCAGCGAAAGUUGUGCUAAUACCGCAUACGUACUGAGGUGGAAAGUGGGGGACCUUCGGGCCUCACGCUAUUCGAGCGGCCGACGUCUGAUUAGCUAGUAGGUGAGGUAAAGGCUCACCUAGGCGACGAUCAGUAGCGGGUGUGAGAGGAUGAUCCGCCACACUGGGACUGAGACACGGCCCAGACUGCUACGGGGGGCAGCAGUGGGGAAUUUUGGACAAUGGGCGAAAGCCUGAUCCAGCCAUGCCGCGUGUCUGAAGAAGGCCUUCGGGUUGUAAAGGACUUUUGUCAGGGAGGAAAUCCCUAGUGCUAAUAACACUGGAGGAUGACAGUACCUGAAGAAUAAGCACCGGCUAACUACGUGCCAGCAGCCGCCGCCG